UCGAGCUGUCGGAGAUGGAGAAGGCGGACCGUCUGUUGUCGCUCACCGGACUUGGCGACAGCAAACCGUCCGAGUUGCUGGAGAGGAUGUUGGCUGUUUUGGGCUCGGCGGAUCCCGCUUUUCUGUUUACCCACAUUUUUCUGCGCCAGCUCCCGGCGCCUGUGCGCACCGCGCUCGCCAGCUCUCCACUCUCCUUCACUAAGGACUAUCGCGCGCUGGCUGCUGAGGCCGACAGGAUCUUUCUCGCCAGCCGGCAGAAUUUUGCGCACGCGCUGCUCCCCGCCCAGACCCCGGACCCGUUGCUGGAGGACACAGCGGGCACCGCCGCAGCGGCUGCCCAUCGCCAACGGGACAAUGGACUAUGUUACUACCACAACAGGUUUGGAACCAAAGCCAAACAGUGUCGCCCGCCAUGCACUUUCAGCAACCAGGGAAACGCCAGGGCCGGCGCUCGUUAACGGCCAUGAGCGCUGGCGGGGACAGCAGGCUGUUGUUUAUUAAGGACGAGGUGUCGAGCCGGCGGCUGCUGGUCGACUCGGGUGCUCAGCGCAGCAUCCUCCCUGCAUCGGCUGCGGACACCAUGGCUGGCGGAUACGGCCCCCCGAUGGACGCCGCGAAUGGCACACCUAUACGCACCUACGCCACCAGGUACGUGGAGGUGAGUUUCGGCGGGCGGCGUUUUGGCUGGGACUUCAUCAUGGCCGCGGUGUCGGUUCCCCUCCUGGGCGCUGAUUUUCUGUGUGCCUUUCACCUACUGGUGGACGUUACGAAUUGUCGACUCAUCGAUGCUGUUUCGUUCGCUACAUACUUGUGCACGCCCGGAGGUGCGGGAACGCUCGGCCUGUCCAACAUGCUUGCCUCCGGAGACUCGUAUCAACGCCUCCUUGCAGAGUUUCCGGACCUCACCACGCCUACGUUUUCGUCAGCGGUUGCCAAGCACGGAGUAGAGCACCAUAUCGUCACGGACGGCGCCCCGGUCUACGCACGCGCUCGACGCCUCGACCCAGCUAAACUCGCCAUCGCCAAGGGGGAGUUCAUGGCCAUGGAGCGCCUUGGCAUCGUGCGCCGCUCUGACAGCCCGUGGGCCUCUCCCUUGCACAUGGUGACGAAGGCUGACGGUAAUUGGCGCCCC
rnacentral:lncRNA from 1 species